GAGCUCAGUUCUUACAUCACCGCAAAACCCAAAAAGAACACUCUGCCCACCAGCGCAGAUGCGAACCUUUCCUUUCGAUUCUCCGCUGGGCUGGGGUUUUCUCUGCUCAUUUAAAGCAACACCGAUUGUGCAAGUCAAAUAGGAGGAAAAAGAUUCAGAAUUCCAUCGAGCUUCCUCUCGUUUUCUUCAUUUUUGGUAUGCAAUUUACUCCUGUUUGUGUUAAAUUUGAAGGGAUUCAAAGAAAUUUUUCAAAAGAAAGAAUGGUUGGUAAAUUGAGCGCUAGAUCAUUAAACAUAUGCAUAGCAUCAUUUUGCAAAGUCAGGCAAUUAGAUAGAGCAGAAUCUAUCAUUAUUGAUGCUAUAAGAUUAGGAGUACUUCCUAAUGUAGUUACUUAUAAUACACUUAUUGACGCCUACUCUCGCCUUGAUAGUUUUGAUGCUGCUUAUUCUCUUCUCCGUAGAAUGAGUGAAGCCCGUAUAAACCCAAAUGUCAUUACCUACAAUUCUCUGAUUGCUGGUGCAGCUAGAAAUUGCUUGCUAUCGAAAUCCCUUGAACUGUUUGAAGAAAUGCUUCAAAGGGGCAUAGCUCCUGAUAUUUGGACUUUUAAUACUCUGAUGCAUUUCUUCUAUAAGGUAGGAAAACCAGAAGAAGCAUACCAGGUUUUCAGGGAUAUUAUUCUCCAUGAUUUAUCCCCAUGUCCAGCUACUUUUAAUAUUAUGAUUAAUGGUCUUUGCAAGAACGGUUAUAUGAGUAAUGCACUUAUGCUCUGUAGGGGUUUACAGCGACAUGGAUUUGUUCCAGAAUUAAUCACUUAUAAUAUUCUCAUUAAUGAGUUGUGUAAAGGGGGGAAAUUGAGGGCUGCAAGUAGAAUGCUCAAAGAGCUGGCAGCAUCUGGUUAUGUGCCAAAUGCCAUAACUUAUACCACAGUUAUGAAAUGCUGCUUUAGAUCCAAGCAGUUUGAACAAGGGCUUGAGAUAUUGCAAGAGAUGAGUGAUAAGGGCUAUACUUUUGAUGGUUUUGCAUAUUGCACUGUUGUUGGUGCUUUAAUCAAGUGUGGUAGGAUUAAAGAGGCAACUGAUUAUAUGGAUCAGAUGAGGAGAAAUGGCAUCGACCACGAUUUAGCGUCAUAUAAUACACUACUAAAUAUGUAUUGUAAAGAAGGUAAAUUGGAAGAAGCAUAUCAAUUGCUUGAUGAAAUAGAAGGAGUAGGCUUAGAAUGUGAUGAGUAUACACACGCAAUUUUGAUAGAUGGGUGGUGUAAGGCAGGUAAUGCUGAGGGGGCACAGCGACACAUUAAGCAUAUGAAUGUGAUGGGUUUCAAUUCCCAUUUGGUUGCAUUAAAUUGUGUUGUUGAUGGGUUGUGCAAAGCUGGUAAGAUUGAUCAUGCUUUGAAAAUGUUUGAGUCAAUGGAGAACAAGGACUCAUUUACCUACUCUUCCUUGGUUCACAAUCUUUGCAAGGCUAGAAGGUAUCAUUCUGCAGCCAAACUCUUGCUUUCUUGUUUAAGCAGGGGCAUGAAAAUACUCCGAUCAGCUCAACGGGCUGUUAUAAACGGUCUUGAUUAUUCUGGUUUUCGAGAAGAAGCAAGGAAGCUUAAAUCAAAAAUUCGAUUGACUAGGAUGGAGCGGUGUUGAUUUCCCUGUACCACUUUGAUGCAAUCUGGAAGUUGGAAUAUUUUAUUGAUGGAAUUCAAUUAAUCUAAUGACCUUUUUUUUUUGUAUUGAAAUCUUUGGACAGCACCAUGUAAAUGUAAGAUUUAUGCUAGUAAAUCCUAUUGUGCUUAGACAUGGAUUGGAGUUACAGAAUCCAAGUUAAUGAAAAACGACGACAAGCAUUUCAUUCAUACACAUAUAAGUUGGGUUAUUUAAUACUGAAUAUUGAUUCGGAUUGGUUGGAGAACUCUGCUUUCAUUGAGCAUAUGUAUGAAAUAUUCUCACCAGAAUGGACGUGUGGCAGUUCCUAAUGUUGAUGAAUCACAGGAUUACAACCCAAAUUUGUUUGAAAUUGAUCUGCUGCCUCCUUACUGGUGUAAUCCCUGCUUAUCAAAGAAGUUUAAGACGUACACUGGUGAUACAAUUAUAUUGUUACAGAAUUUGCCCGUCAAGAUACAAGAAUGCUUAUUUUAUAUAUAUUCUCUACUUGUCAACAUAUUGGUAAAAAGCAUAGUUUUCUGCAUCAAUAUUAAGGUAUGCCGAUUAGGUGAUAGGAAAACCACAGGGAAAGGGCAUAUAUCAGAUAGAUACAUCACCUUGCAAAAAAUGUAUAAUAGUUAUACACAUAUUCCAAAAAAUGUAUAAUAGUGAUAUACAUCACCUUGCAUGUAGGUUGACAUGAACCUGAUUGUUGGGACUUUUUUUUUAAUUUUUUUAUUUACCAAUACCUCUGAUAGAAAUAGUACAUUUUAUUGAUGUUAUUAAGAAUUUGUUCAAGACGUUGAAAUAAAAAUUAU
rnacentral:misc_RNA from 1 species